rnacentral:rRNA from 1 species
GGAUGCUUGUUUGAACCGCAUGGUUCAAACAUAAAAGGUGGCUUCGGCUACCACUUACAGAUGGACCCGCGGCGCAUUAGCUAGUUGGUGAGGUAACGGCUCACCAAGGCAACGAUGCGUAGCCGACCUGAGAGGGUGAUCGGCCACACUGGGACUGAGACACGGCCCAGACUCCUACGGGAGGCAGCAGUAGGGAAUCUUCCGCAAUGGACGAAAGUCUGACGGAGCAACGCCGCGUGAGUGAUGAAGGUUUUCGGAUCGUAAAGCUCUGUUGUUAGGGAAGAACAAGUACCGUUCGAAUAGGGCGGUACC